UCCGGUUUGUCACCGGCGGUCUCCUUAGAGUUCCCACCAUUACGUGCUGGCAACUAAGGACAAGGGUUGCGCUCGUUGCGGGACUUAACCCAACAUCUCACGACACGAGCUGACGACAGCCAUGCAGCACCUGUGUUCGAGUUCCCGAAGGCACCAAUCCAUCUCUGGAAAGUUCUCGACAUGUCAAGGCCAGGUAAGGUGGGGAUGACGUAUGCGUAACAGAA
rnacentral:misc_RNA from 1 species